GGUUUGCUCUUCUCUUCUAUGUGAUGAGCAGAUAUUGCUAAGGGUUGCAUGAAGGAAAAGUUCUUUGGGCUUGCAUCGUGAUAACUGUUUUUUGGGUCUACAUUAGUUAAAACUUAAACCAUAUAGAACACCUUUGUAGUUAUAUUUAGCUAAUUUCAUUUCCAGUAGUGAAAGUUUACUCCUAUUUAUCUCAUCUAGUUCAUGAUGUUCUUGAAGAAAGAUAUGAUUUAUUGGCUUUGAGCAUCAGACCAUGUUACUUAUGUCGAUACUUUGUUCUUCUAAUUGAUACAGAUUCUGUUGGGGAAUAUAUUGCUUAGGGAGCAUCAUCAGUUGUUUUAUAAGAUGCCAUAUUUGAUAAAGAAGCAAUGGGUCCAAAAAAAAAGGUAUCAACUUGCACAUGCCGCAGCUUUCCAUGGCAAUGAAGCUGUAGUCCGGUGUUUGGAAUUUGGAUUCAAGCGGGUGUGUCCUAGGAGCUACUUUUUGUUGUUGACAAAGGGCUAUUUGUUAGGAGCCAGAAAAAGCUGGUUACUCUUGGAGGUGGGCGGUUUUGACUAUUACGUUGUGUGUUAGAUUUGGAUGGACUACAGUGGUUAUUUAGGGAAACAAGGAAGAAUUGAAGUUACUCUGGGCUAGGAUUAAGCUUUUAGCUUCUUCUUGGACUUCUUUGCCGAAGAAUUUUAAUGGCCUUCCUUUCUUUUUGUGUAUUGAGUAUAUUAAGUGUUAAAGCCAAAUCGAGAUUUCCAUCAAUAUUAACAGUCUCUUAUCCAAAUUGGACUUAGUUGCAAGCCACAAUUAACUACAGGGAUACGACUGAAUUGAAUUGAAAUUAUGGGGACCAAAAUGGAGAAUGGCCCAAAGUACAUGUUGCAUAUGACCUC